UGUGUUAUCAUUGCAUUCCGCCACUCCUAACUAUCUGUUGUGUAAUUUUUUUGCAUAGCUAAAAGCCUAAAAAUAGUUGAAUCUGAUUAUUUUUUAGUUAUUUUUUUUUUCUCAUAAGAAAUUAAAUGCAUUUGGUUUCGUUCACAUAAGCAUUGUUUUAUAUUAGCUGGAGAUUAGAGACACAUUAACACUAACACCCUAUUGUUAUCUUUGAUUUUUGUGCAUAUCGUCUAGUUGUUUAAUUAUGUCCUUUUUGGAUUAGCUUCUAGCUUGUGGAAGCUUGUCAACUGAAUAAGUAUUACAUUUCUAUCUUGCAUGUUGCAACAUAAAAGCCCUUACAAGAUCAACAAGGCUGUUACAAUUAUGGCGCUUCAUGGUGUCGUGUUUGCACCAAAUUCUCCCUGCAUUCUGUAGUAUGAGCAACAAAUUCCCAAAUCUUUCAUUUAUAUUCACAUAUAUUGAUGAAUGUCCGGAAACAACUCAACACAUUCGAUACACUUCGAACUUUCAGUUUUUUUGAGAUGGUGAAAAGGUAGAUGAGAUGUAUGGUACCGAAAAAGAGAUGUAUGUUAAGAUGUAAACAUUAUGUUUUCAAUUUCUCAAUUGAUGUAACAUUGUCGAUUGCCUAUUAUCAACAAUUCAUGGUAAUUCAGGUUAAAGCUUAAUUAUUGAAUGACAUCAGUAGAAA